GUGCACCAGUCGAGAAACUUUACAAUGUGCGAAAGCACGAUAAGGGAACUCUGAGUGCCUCCUAAGGAGGCUGUUCAGGUGUCUAAAAGCACCUGAAGGAAGGGCUGGGUAAGACCGGUGCCAGCCGCCGCGGUAACACCGGCAGCCCAAGUGGUAGCCACGUUUAUUGGGUCUAAAGCGUCCGUAGCCGGCUGGGUAAGUUCCUUGGGAAAUUUGGCUGCUUAACAGUCAAGCUUUCAGGGAAUACUGCCCGGCUUGGGACCGGGAGAGGUCAGAGGUGCUCCAGGGGUAGGGGUGAAAUCCAUUAAUCCUUGGGGGACCACCGGUAGCGAAGGCGUCUGACCAGACCGGGUCCGACGGUGAGGGACGAAGGCUAGGGGCGCGAACCGGAUUAGAUACCCCUGUAGU
rnacentral:rRNA from 1 species